rnacentral:rRNA from 1 species
GGAUCAUUAAAGAGUUUAAUAAAACUCCUAAACCCCUGUGAACUUACUGGUGUUUGGCUCGCCAGAUAUAGUCUGGUCCGUAAGCAAAUCGACUGCCUGCCUGUGUAACAGGCAGGUAAGCUUUUGUCGCGGGGUCCCGGAUCAACCCGGGCUAGAUAGCCACUUAACUAUAUACUUUUUAUAAAAUCUGUGAACUUACUAGGUUGGAUUCUCGCCAGAGAUAGUCUGGUUUCUGCUUCGCGGAUCGCCUACCCGUGACACCUGUCACAGGCAGGUAUGCUUCUGCCGCGGGUCCGUAAGUAAAUCAUCUGUUUCGCAAGGGACGGCGAUUUACCUGUGGAAGAGGUCCGCUAACUAUAUUCUUAGUAUAGUUUGUUCACUAGAUCAAACAUUCUGAAUAAAAACUUAAACUAGUUAAAACUUUCAACAACGGAUCUCUUGGUUCUGGCAUCGAUGAAGAACGCAGCGAAAUGCGAUAAGUAAUGUGAAUUGCAGAAUUCAGUGAAUCAUCGAAUCUUUGAACGCACAUUGCGCCCAUUAGUAUUCUAGUGGGCAUGCCUGUUCGAGCGUCAUUUCAACCCUUAAGCCCCUGUUGCUUAGCGUUGGGAGCCUACAGCCUGCUGUAGCUCCUUAAAGGUAGUGGCGGAGUCGGUUCACACUCUAGACGUAGUAAAAUCUUUAUCUCGCCUAUGGAUGAGCCGGCGCCUUGCCGUAAAACCCCUAAUCUUUCACAAGGUUGACCUCGGAUCAGGUAGGAAUACCCGCUGAACUUAAGCAUAUCAAUAAGCGGAGGAAAAGAAACCAACAGGGAUUGCCCUAGUAACGGCGAGUGAAGCGGCAACAGCUCAAAUUUGAAAUCUGGCCUUCGGGUCCGAGUUGUAAUUUGCAGAGGAUGCUUUGGGCGCGGUGCCUUCCGAGUUCCCUGGAACGGGACGCCUUAGAGGGUGAGAGCCCCGUACGGUUGGACACCAAGCCUCUGUAAAGCUCCUUCGACGAGUCGAGUAGUUUGGGAAUGCUGCUCUAAAUGGGAGGUAAAUUUCUUCUAAAGCUAAAUAUUGGCCAGAGACCGAUAGCGCACAAGUAGAGUGAUCGAAAGAUGAAAAGCACUUUGAAAAGAGGGUUAAAUAGCACGUGAAAUUGUUGAAAGGGAAGCGUUUGCGACCAGACCUUUUCCCAGCGGAUCAUCCGGUGUUCUCACCGGUGCACUUCGCUGGGUUGAGGCCAGCAUCGGUUUCCGCAGGGGGAUAAAAGCCUGGGGAACGUAGCUCCCUCGGGAGUGUUAUAGCCCCUCGCAUAAUACCCUUGCGGGGACCGAGGACCGCGCU